rnacentral:rRNA from 1 species
ACGGAAGGCAGCAGUGAGGAAUAUUGGUCAAUGGGCGAGAGCCUGAACCAGCCAAGUCGCGUGAGGGAAGACGGCCCUAUGGGUUGUAAACCUCUUUUGUGCGGGAAUAAAGUCAGGGACGGGUCCCUGAUUGCAUGUACCGUGCGAAUAAGGAUCGGCUAACUCCGUGCCAGCAGCCGCGGUAAUACGGAGGAUCCGAGUGUUAUCCGGAUUUAUUGGGUUUAAAGGGUGCGUAGGCGGAACGUCAAGUCAGUGGUGAAAUGGUGCGGCUCAACCGUAGCAUUGCCGUUGAAACUGGCGUCCUUGAGUGCGAAUGAGGUGGGCGGAAUGUGUCAUGUAGCGGUGAAAUGCAUAGAUAUGACGAAGAACUCCGAUUGCGAAGGCAGCUUACUGUCGCGUAACUGACGCUGAAGCUCGAAAGUGCGGGUAUCGAACAGGAUUAGAUACCCUGGUA